ACGGAAUUGACAAAAACCGUCUGUUGAAGAAAGAUGCUUCAGGUAGCCCGGCAUCCACAGCCUCCUCUGGAAGUUCCUCAUCCCUGAAAUCCAAAGAAGUGAACCUGCAUGAAAAAGCCAACACGCCUGUUCUGAAAUCCAGCACACCAACGCCUCGGAGUGACAUGCCAACCCCGGGCACCAGCGCUACUCCAGGCCUCCGUCCAGGUCUCGGCAAGCCUCCAGCCAUGGAGCCCCUUGUCAACCAAGCAGCAGCUGGCCUGAGGACGCCCCUGGCAGUGCCUGGCCCAUACCCUGCCCCCUUUGGCAUGGUGCCCCAUGCAGGCAUGAACGGAGAGCUGACCAGCCCUGGCGCUGCCUAUGCAGGUC
rnacentral:lncRNA from 1 species